GAUGAUGAGACCCGACGCGAAGCUCUGGCUGGUCGGGCGGCAACCCUCUCCCGUAGCGGGGUGCCCCAGAUGAACAUCGGGCCGUGGCGUCAGGUGCGCCCCGGCAAGUACGGCGC
rnacentral:ncRNA from 1 species